AUAUGCCUACACACCUACUUUUUUGCGAUUUUUUUUUUAAGUACAUCCUACGUUAUGUAUCUAGUCGUUACACGCGAGAAAUACACACACAAGUACACGCACACGUACUUACUACGUGAUCCUGUAAAACGUAGAGUAUUCGGUAAACGUAAAAUCGUAACAGAUCUCGAUGUCAAUCGAAAAAUCGAAACGUUAAAACGUCGAACGAUAACCCUCGAACGAGUCCGUCCGAUUGUCCAUCUCGUCUGAUAGAUUUGCUCGUUUUCCCGUUUUUCAAUCGCGAACAACGCUGCUUUCGUGUUCGAGAUCGUUCGUGAUCGAAGUUGCGUUAAACUUACGCGGAACGUUAUCAACAUCGGAGAAACAGUGCAUGGCAAAACGCGAAGGUACUUGGUUUCGGUAACUUAAAAACGCGUUGAAACUUAGUAGGUUUUACCUAAUUACGUAGGUUUACCUUUUUAGUAUAAUAUUAGAAAUUCAUAGAUGAAACUAGUUUGCCACGAUAUAUCGCGAAACUGUUACAGCGAAACAGAUUUCUCAGAAAUCAUUCGAUAGAGUAUCCGUGGAAUUGACAAGCGUACAAGUUCCUCGCUAUUUUCUACAAAUACGUCCAUGAAUUAUUCAUCGUAAAAAGCUGUGGCUAAAGUACGAUGUGUGCACCGCUGUAUUUGUAAAGAGAACGAAACCGAUGUAGCUACGAAUAAUAAGAAAUUUCGAGCGAAACAUUCACAAACAAAAUGAUUUUACGUCUAAAACGGAAUUACGACUACGAUAAUACUCGCGUUUCUCUUAAAUAACCGAGGGAGACGUUCGUCGGUGUUAAACGACUGCGAUAAAAUUUUCAAAACUCGACGUUUCGCUAGAAAUAAAAUCCGUUGGCACGUGUUUGCCAACAUCUAGCGAAACUCGAUGCGCUCGAGAUUAUUAUUCCACGGAUCGGACAUUUAAAAUCGGUUUAUUAAUAAACGACGCGAAACAAGCAGAGACAGACUUUUGGCAACGUUGUCGUUCGUACCUUGUAAAUCGUUAGAUCCUAAUCGUUCCGAGUACGAAAGAGUAAUUUUUAUCGCGACGACGAAUUCGUCGCAUCACGUCGAGUUUCGUUCGAGAAGAACAAGAACUAUUGCAUAAAAAGUCCGAGUAAUCGAUCGAUAAAUUCGGCGUCUAAAUGUCAUCUCGCGAAACACGCUGCGCCAUGCACUUUUUCCCUCGAUCGCGUAAGACGAUAGAACGAGUGUCCACGAUAAUGGAAUUAAUCAAGAACGAUAGAACGAAUCAGAUAGACGAAACGAUACGAAACGAGAAACGUCGAGUCGGGCACCUGCGUGAUCCUCGACUCGAGAGUAACGAUUUAAAAGUAUACGGAUGAAAAGAAAAAAAAAAAAAAGGGAAAAGAAACAAAGAGAAAUCCGCGACGUUUUCGAGAGAUUUUGAUCGAGUUUCCGCGAUUCUUUCGAUCGAUUUCCUCGAUAUUCUCUCGGCACGUGCAUAAGGGCGGAAAGUUGGGCGACAGAAAGGAAAUCGAAGGAACCGUUUGUCCGUAGAAACGUGGAUAGAAACGCUGGUAGAGACGCGCGUGCAAAUUCAUUACGUCAAACGGUUCUUCGAUGACGGAGUAGUUCUUUUACUACUCGAUGGGAAAUCCAUCAUCGACCGACUGACAAGCUCGCCGAUAGAACGUUUCUUUCACUCGGUGGAAAGCUCGAUCGAUCGAAAUUGGCAUUCCACAGAGUAGAAAUUAAAUUGGAUAAUUUCACCGAGGAGCCAGAGAGUAACGUCGCGAUCUUGUCUCGAUACAAUCUUAAUAGGAUCUAACGCUGUUACGAUUAAUAAUUUUGAGAGAAUAAACGUCCAAGAUCGAUAAUCUCUUUGUCGUUCUAAGAAAUUCUCCCUUUCCGGUGAAAUUUUAUCGAAUAUUAUCGUUAGCUCGAUUAAAAGUCGAUCAAAACGAAUCCGUACUUGUAUAAAGCUUGUAAAAAUAAGAUCAAGAGUACUUAGAAAUCGUUUUCGACGUUAUUCGCUGGCACCUUUCGAACCGGCAACGAACCGUAAGUGCACAGCGCGAAGGAUAAACGUAAAACCGAUCGAUAUUACUCGAGAUCGCGCGCUGCGAGAGCCGUUAAAACCGCGAGAUCUAGCGUUAAGCGUAGCGUUAAGUACGCUCGUUGCUACCUUCGUUUCCUCUACUCUAGAAUUAAUGCGCGUUACGAGUGUCCAGCUUUUGCACGAUCGAAACGCGUACGUCUCGCCCACGAAAUCACGUCUUUAUCGCGUUAUCAUCGAGUUCAGUGCAACGUUUAACUCGUAAGCGCGCGUUCAAUGUCGCAGUCAGACGCUUUCCUCUUUUCGAAAUCGUCGUUUAGAGUCGAGCUAUUGAAAGAAUAGUCGUACGCGCGAUCGGCAAUAAAUAAUCGUAAACGUAUUCACCGGUAUCCUUGAGAAUGAUAAAUCGACGACCGCGUAAGACGGCGUAAUUAAUUAUUUCGCGAUUAAAGCGAAUAUCAACGAACGAAUAUUUCGUCACGAAUAUCUUACGUAAACGAGAAAAACUCGAUGAGUUAUAAAUAUCUUUCUCGCUUAAAAUAAAAAAA